UGCAAGUCGAGGGGCAGCGCGGGAUAGCAAUAUCCUGGCGGCGACCGGCGGAAGGGUGCGUAACGCGUGAGCGACAUGCCCGUUGCCCGGGGACAACCGGUGGAAACGCCGACUAAUCCCCGAUGGGAUAUUGUGCCGCAUGGCACGAUAUUGAAAGUUACGGCGGCGACGGAUUGGCUCGCGUCCGAUUAGCUGGUUGGCGGGGUAACGGCCCACCAAGGCUGCGAUCGGUAGGGGUUCUGAGAGGAAGGCCCCCCACAAUGGGACUGAGACACGGCCCAUACUCCUACGGGAGGCAGCAGUGAGGAAUAUUGGUCAAUGGGCGGAAGCCUGAACCAGCCAUGCCGCGUGCGGGAAGGAGGCCCUAUGGGCUGUGAACCGCUUUUGCCUGGGGGCAAUAAGGGCGUCGCGCACGCCCGAUGAGAGUACCAGGCGAAUAAGCAUCGGCUAACUCCGUGCCAGCAGCCGCGGUAAUACGGGGGAUGCGAGCGUUAUCCGGAUUCAUUGGGUUUAAAGGGUGCGUAGGCUGUGCGUCAAGUCGGGGGUGAAAUUCCGGUGCUCAACACCGGGGCUGCCCUUGAUACUGUCGCGCUGGAGUGCGGAUGCCGCCGGAGGAAUGAGUGGUGUAGCGG
rnacentral:rRNA from 1 species